UACGUAGGUGGCAAGCGUUGUCCGGAUUUAUUGGGCUUAAAGGGUGCGUAGGCGGUCUAUUAAGUCAGUGCUGAAAUAUCCCGGCUUAACCGGGAGGGUGGCAUUGAUACUGAUGGACUUGAGUGCAGUCGAGGUAGGCGGAAUUGACGGUGUAGCGGUGAAAUGCUUAGAUAUCGUCAAGAACACCGAUAGUGAAGACAGCUUACUAGACUGUAACUGACGCUGAGGCACGAAAGUGUGGGGAGCAAACAGG
rnacentral:rRNA from 1 species